rnacentral:lncRNA from 1 species
CUGGAAUUCACAUGAAGAAAAGCUAAAUGUGGCAGCAUUUGAUUUUGAACCCAGCAUUCGGGAGGAAGAGAUAGGCAAAUGUCAGGGGGUGUUCUGAACAGCCAGCCUAGUGUACUCACUAAGUUCCGGGCCAGUGAGAGACUCUGUCUCUGAAAUGAGGUGGACUGUACCUAAGGAAGGACACCCAAGGCUUUUGGCUGGCCUUCACAUGCACACACACAUAGGUGCUCCCAUGCAUCCAUGAACAUACACACAGAGCAAACAACACAGUGAAUGAUGACGGAAGCAUUUUUUUUAUGACACAAGACAUCUUAAACCUGACCAAGGAAAAGAGAAAGAUAGCCCAGGGACUACACUUCACCACAUGAUGACAGCAGACAAAAAAGGACUAGAUGAGCCAGGAGGCUCUGCAGAGGCCCCCAAGCCCAACAAUGGCUUGCACAGCAGUGAGAGCCGACAUCCAUGAUGGAAAGACUAGAAGUGAGUGUGCUGCUGACCAACAGGCAAGCCAGAAGAGUCCUCUACAUCCUGUCAUUCUUUAUGAAAGGAGGUGAACUUGUCACCAUGUCUGGGACCUGCAGCUCAACACCUGCUUUGGUUUAACUUAUGCAUUUAAUUAUAUGUUAUAAUAUAUAUUAUAUAUGUGUGUAUGGAAACUUGGUUUUGAAUUAUGAGUGUGGAAAAAAUAAUUAUUCAACUGGGAGCCAAUAUUGUUACAUUUCCUGUGAGAGUCACAUUAGGAAAACUGUUGGGAUUUUCUGUUGAUUAUUUUCUGGUUUCUUUUGUACCAACGGUAUGGUAUGGUUACUUUGGUGUUGGUUUUUCAUGUCUCUAAAUGCUGGGCACAUUUUCCCUGAGACAUUCAUUAGAACUGACUUACCUGGCAUGCCAAAGGGCCACUCUGGGGUUUUGCUUUGUUUGUUUGUGGUGUGCACACACACAGCACUUCUAUAAGCAGUGGUUGCUUUGUUUAUAAACAGUCACUAACUCAAAGGCAUGGGUGAUAAACCCAUGUUUCUGAUAUCCUCCCAUUCCAAGCGACCUCAAAGAAUAGGUUCAGUUUAAGUGGGAUGUGCUGAGCCAGAGCCUUUCAAAUCCAGCAGAGAACACAGAGCUUCCACAUGCAGGUCGGACUGGAUAACUUAAAAGCAGUCACUUCCCAAUACCUAUUUAUAGUCACACAAAUGCAGUGACGUGUUGUUACAUCCAUGACUCUGAAUUAUCCUCGUCCUUAGUAAAUGGAGUGUGUGUGUCUUUGAUGUUAAUCACUCCUACAGCACUGGGGCAUGAGUAGCUUACUUAGCACAAUAAAAGUAAAACUUUUGAUUGGUGGGUGCAAUUGUCAGGAGUGGGUGCAAAGUUUACUCACUAUGAAACUACUAAGAAGAGAGAUAUGAUUUAAUAAAGUUAGAAUCUGAAUAUGUAAUCAUGUUCUGGCAGGGCCUCUGAGGAUGGAAAGCCCUACAGCCAGGCUCAGAAGCCUGUAAUUGAGGCAACACGCAAAUCCCCCUGAGUGGACAGAAACACACACACACACACACACACACACACACACACACACACACACACGCACGCGCGCGCGCGCGCGCGCACACGCAUUGACACAUAUGUACCUUCCUCCACCCAGGCACUCACCCCUCACCCUCUGUCAUGAGGAAAGCACAAAGCAUUGGAAGGAAACCAUCAGGUCAUAUUUUCUGGGAGAGUUUCAAUAAGAGCAGUUGCAAUGGACAGAGACACCUUGGGCAAAUUCUUACAGAAAAGGAGAGAAUUGUGGGUCCCAGGGGUGGAUGGGAUCCUUUUAUAGUGUGGAUGUUUCCUAGACUGACCGAGGGUCAGUUAUGGAGAAAGAAGGAUGCCCAAGGGCUACAGGCCACUUGCUUUACACUGUGUGAUGUAAUCCAGGAAAAUCAGAGGAGCUGUCUCCGAGGCUACUUUGCUGUGGUCUGUGUUACUAAAGAAAUCAGGAUUUGAGGUUUAACAUCUUCCCCGGGGUGAAGUGUGUAGAGGUCUUGCAGAAGCAGCCGAGAGACCAGUCCUGAGGCAAGUGAGAGUAAGUGAGGCCUUCCCACAAUCCAGUCAAGAGGGUCUAGAGCAGUAGCUGUCAACCUUUGGAAUGCUUCGACCCUUAACACAGUUCCUCAUGUUGUGUGACCUCGAUCAUAAAAUUAUUUCCAUUGUUACUUCACAACUGUAAUUCUGUUACUGUUAUGAAUCAUAACCUAAAUAUCUGUGUUUUCGAUGGUCUUAGGUGACCCCAGUUAAAGGGCCAUAAACCCAAAAGAGAUUGUGACCUCUCAGCUAAGAAAGACUGAUUUAGGGAAAAGGCAGCAAGGGAUACACCUUACUGAUGGGUGGCCAGGGAGGCUGAGAGCAGGUGUCUCUAUAUCAGCAGGUCUGGGUGAUGGAACAGACCCAAGCCCCUGUGGCCCCUGUGAUGUAACACUAAGAUUCCCAGCACAGACAGACAGAAGAUCCUGGAGACCCAAGGGUUUCAGCAGAGAAGGAUGUAGGGUUGGGGUUAGAUGCAGAAAGAGCAGCAGCAAGG